rnacentral:rRNA from 1 species
GACGAACGCAGGCGGCGUGCUUAACACAUGCAAGUCGAACGGAAAGGCCCUGCUUUUGUGGGGUGCUCGAGUGGCGAACGGGUGAGUAACACGUGAGUAACCUGCCCUUGACUUUGGGAUAACUUCAGGAAACUGGGGCUAAUACCGGAUAGGAGCUCCUGCCGCAUGGUGGGGGUUGGAAAGUUUCGGCGGUUGGGGAUGGACUCGCGGCUUAUCAGCUUGUUGGUGGGGUAGUGGCUUACCAAGGCUUUGACGGGUAGCCGGCCUGAGAGGGUGACCGGCCACAUUGGGACUGAGAUACGGCCCAGACUCCUACGGGAGGCAGCAGUGGGGAAUAUUGCACAAUGGGCGGAAGCCUGAUGCAGCAACGCCGCGUGCGGGAUGACGGCCUUCGGGUUGUAAACCGCUUUCGCCUGUGACGAAGCGUGAGUGACGGUAAUGGGUAAAGAAGCACCGGCUAACUACGUGCCAGCCGCCGCCGUAA